rnacentral:rRNA from 1 species
GACAGAGGUGCCGAGCGUUAGGCGGAAUCACUGGGCUUAAAGCGUGUGUAGGCGGACUUCUAAGUACCUUGUGAAAUCCCACGGCUCAACCGUGGAACUGCCUGGUAUACUGGUUGUCUUGAGCCACCUAGGGGCGAGCGGAACAAGCGGUGGAGCGGUGAAAUGCGUAGAUAUCGCUUGGAACGCCAACGGUGAAAACAGCUCGCUGGGGGUGUGCUGACGCUGAGACACGAAAGCCAGGGGAGCGAACGGG